ACAAAGGAAAGUAACAAAAAACAAUAAGAGGGAAAACAGCUUCCAUUUGUCAUUUUUUGUUUUUCGGGUUUUUCUCCACUUUUCUGUUUUCCUCGACCCGUUUCACUUACUCU
rnacentral:ribozyme from 1 species